CGGGGCGGGGCCUGCGGAGGCCCAGGGAGCACAUUCUACGGAGCGCGAGGAGGGCCAAGCGCGCAUGUGGGCUCGGCCUUGUGAGACCAAGACCCCCGGUUCCCUGGCUCGCUCACAACACCCGUUUUAACCCUUACCUCGUCGUAUGGUGACUCCUGCCCGGCCGCGCAGCUGUGCCUUCCUUAGUGGGAACGCUCUCUGUUCGCCCGGCAGUCCCUCUGAACGUCCGUGAGCGUGCCGUUCCGUGGGCGAUCGCCAUCCGUGUGCGUGCGUGUGCGUAACACGAGCCAACACGUUUUCGCGACUUCUAAGCACAUGGCAGAUUGCACGCUCCCCGCGAUCGUUAGUGAAGUGUAACCUUCCGCCAGGAGGCCGCUUUUGGCGGAAGGUUACACGAGAGGAUGAGGGGAAAGGAAAGGUUUCUCGGUGUAGCUGGUCCUCCAUGAAGUUCUUUUCUUCAUUUACUUUUUUAACGCUGAAUUGUCCCCUGAGCCCGUUGUCCCGCGCAGACAGGGAUUGAGUAGGUGCCUUGCAAACACCUCCAAUGUGGCAGCCGGGGCAGGGCCUGUGAUGGCGCGGAAAGCGCAGCCGGAGAGCCCGGCAUCCGUUUCCCGGCCCGACCGCCGCCGUCGGGAGGGGACUCCCGGGUCCCUCAACUCCGACUUUCCCCGGAGGCAGCAGUUGGAAUUUUGCAAAGACAGGCCGUUCUCCUACCCACAUUUUCCAUGCAAAUACCUGAAAUACAGGCUAAUUUAAUCAGUACAGUCUUUUUUUUUUUUUCCUUUUGUUUUAAAGUCCUCUCCUGACCCGUCGCCAAGCCAGUCAGCAGCUGUUCGGCGACCGGCUCAAAAGACAGAAACCUGAGAGGAUCCCCACGGGAGGAUGAGAGAAAAGGACGGUAUUCCAAGUGGAGGAGGGACAGGGCAGAAGCGCUGACGCCGCCUCGGCCUGUUUUUGAUCUAUAGAGUCAACGAAAUCGCAAUAAGAAUCCCACCAGGUAUCUUGGAUAAAUUGAGAGAUGAUUCCAGCAUUUCUACAGAAAUUCAAAGGACCCAGAAUAUUCAGACUGCUUUUGAAAAAAGAACAAAGUUGGAGAAUGUUCGCUACCUGACUUAUGUGAUGAAUGCAAGUGAAUGGAAGAAGCUGGUACUAAUUAAAAUCCCUCUGGUGGGGGGGGGCAGCAUUCCAGUGAAGUGGGAAAAAGGUUCUAACUACAAUGUCUUGUGCUUAACUCCACUGGCCUCACAGGCUGCAGAUGGAUGUCCAGUGAUGGGGCCCAGGUAUGAGUACUGGACCACUUCUGCGGUGUGAUUUUAGGCAUGUAGCCUCUUUGUGGUGUGUAUAGUCCUCCUGAUGAUUCUAUGUGCUACCAAAUAAUCAAUGAUAAAUUUAUUUUCUGCUUAAAAUUGGCAAAAGUUGUUUCUUUUAUUAGCAACAGGAAUUUUAUUAGCAACAGGCUGAUACAAAUACUAGGAAGAAAAAUAAAGAAGGAUGAAGGGACAAAGGGUGACUGAGGCUAUAUUUUGGAUAAAGGGAAAAGAAUGAACUUCUCUGAGGAAGUGCCAUUUAAACAGAGACCAUAUUAUUCCAUUUUAGUUUGGAAAAAGAAAAGUGUUCCAUAUGUGUAUAUAUGUCUUAGAUGAUGAUAGAACAAUGUGAAUAGAUCAUCAUGUCAGGAUGAUCAUAGCUCCCAAAGAUACGUCCACAUCCCAAUCUCUGGAACAUGCAAAUGUUAGCUUUUUUAG